UCUCCUGCCCUGGGGCUCUGACCCUCUCCUGUUGUGUCACCCCCCCAGGCAGUGACAGCUCCCUGGGCUCUGAUGAUUCUCUCUUGGCUUCUAAAGCGUGAUGCAGCUGCCUUGUGGGACUGAGUGAUGGAAGAUGUGCUCACGCUCCCACCUCCUGACUCAGGAACCUCUGAUUGGAAGGCUGGCCCGCCCUGCUCCCCACACUUUCCUGUCAGCAGAGAUGGCUGGGCCCUCCCAUCCCUGUGUUUACUUUCUGAUCUGAGCUGCACCUUUCUGCUCCAGUAUUGAAAGGAGUCUCUGGAUGUGACUGUGUUUAUUCAUUUCUUGCCAAGAAGGGUUGGGUUGUUAAUUAAAGGGGAAAACCCUAAAUUCUGAGAGGAAAUAAAUUGAAGCAUCAAGCGCUUUCCAGAA